GAUGAACGCUGGCGGCGUGCUUAACACAUGCAAGUCGAACGAAGCACUCUAUUUGAUUUUCUUCGGAAAUGAAGAUUUUGUGACUGAGUGGCGGACGGGUGAGUAACGCGUGGGUAACCUGCCUCAUACAGGGGGAUAACAGUUGGAAACGACUGCUAAUACCGCAUAAGCGCACGGGAUCGCAUGAUCCGGUGUGAAAAACUCCGGUGGUAUGAGAUGGACCCGCGUCUGAUUAGCCAGUUGGCAGGGUAACGGCCUACCAAAGCGACGAUCAGUAGCCGACCUGAGAGGGUGACCGGCCACAUUGGGACUGAGACACGGCCCAAACUCCUACGGGAGGCAGCAGUGGGGAAUAUUGCACAAUGGGGGAAACCCUGAUGCAGCGACGCCGCGUGAGCGAAGAAGUAUUUCGGUAUGUAAAGCUCUAUCAGCAGGGAAGAAGAAUGACGGUAC
rnacentral:rRNA from 1 species